UGUUGACCUCGAAUCAGGUAGGAAUACCCGCUGAACUUAAGCAUAUCAAUAAGCGGAGG
rnacentral:rRNA from 1 species